AGAGUGAAGAAGAAGAGGAGGAAGAGGAAUGGCAAAGGGAAGAGAGAGAAGAGGGAGAAGGAAGAAGAGGAGGAGAUUAUGCACGACACUUGUUAAAAUUGCAACACUGAGACGGUAUUAGCAGCCCAGUUCUUCAUUUGAGAAGACCAAAGCACAGAGGGGCUAAGUGAUUUGCCCGGGCCCACACAGCUGGGUUGUUGCUGAGCCAGCAUUUGAAACCAGGCUACAUCCUUGAAUCUCAGCUUGGACUUGGUAUCAUUCAGAGUCCUACCAAGAGAAUCAAAACCACUUCAGUGCCUCCACCACCAGUCUCUCAUGAAUGACUCUCCUUGUCAGGGCCCAGAUGGAAGCCAGCUGACAUGCAAGCCUGGGAACUGCAGCCUGCAGAGAUCAACAACCCCACGGAGUCACAGAGCAGAGCAGACAGACACACAGAAGAAAAGGCAAUGUGAAGACAAGACAGAGGCCGGAUGGAGGUGAUGCCACCACAAGCCAAGGAAUGCUGGCAGCUGCUAGAAGCUGGAGGAGACGGGGAACAAAUUCUCUGCUAGAGCCUCCAGAGGAAAGACAGCCCUGUUCACAUCUUGAUUUCAGAAGUCUGGCCUCCAGAACUGCGAAAGAAUACGUGACUGUUAUCUUAAGCUACAAGUCUGUGUAUUGUGCUCCUCCAUCGUAUUCCCAAAACAGCAUCCCUGGCUUCUGUCCCGUGCCCAUUGUCCUUUCAUGCUGAAGCAGCUUAUUGCAUUGUCUUAUCUGUCCUACCAGGCUGACCUCCUUGAGGGCAGAAUUAGAUCUUGGAGAGAGAGCGCCCUAGUUCUCAACAUUGUGACGGGUAUAUAAUGGAUGACAAAUAAAUAUUAACUUGACUUUA
rnacentral:lncRNA from 1 species